UGGAUUACCUGGAUGGGGCCAAUAUAAUGGCCGAUCAUGAAGAGUCAUGGUGUAGACUAGGAACUUCCAUUCCACAUUUGGAGGGGUGCAGGUCUAAAGUCUCCUUAAGUGGGAGAACUUUUGUCAUAAUUCAUUUUUUUUUAGUUCUAAGUUCUCUUUAGUAAU